CCGAGUUUUCAACUCCCAAACCCCUGUGAACAUACCUUUUGUUGCUUCGGCGGGAUCGCCCCAGCUGCCCUGCGCGCUGGAUCCAGGCCCCCGCCGCAAGACCCAAAACUCUGUCUUUAUAGUUAUUCUUCUGAGUGGCUUUAAGCAAAAAAUAAAUUA
rnacentral:misc_RNA from 1 species